rnacentral:rRNA from 1 species
GGCGCUCGAUCGCGUCGUGGUAUUUCGCGUAUUGUAAUUUCAACACGAGCGGGGUCAAAUCCUUUGCAGACGACUUAGCUGUGCGAAACGGUCCUGUAAGCAGUAGAGUAGCCUUGUUGUUACGAUCUGCUGAGGGUAAGCCGUCCUUCGCCUCGAUUU